UUCUAAUUGCUCUAUUGAAAGUCGAUAUCUUUUAACUAAUAGGAUGGGUGUUAGAAUAGUUUCGAGUAUGGAAAAGUACUUGGGAUUUCCUACUAUGGUGGGGAGAAAGAAGAAAGAGGCUUUUCAAAAUAUCAUUGACAGGUUGAGGAAAAGGGUGAACAGGUGGGGAAGUCGGAUGCUUUCUCAAGGGUGUAAAGAAGUU
rnacentral:lncRNA from 1 species